AGUGCGUCCCACGUGGGUCAAAGUGUAGUAUCUGUUCUUAUCAGCUUAAUAUCUGAUACGGGUUGUAUUUGGACCUAACAUAUUAAACUUAUUUUUACAAUGUGAUGGAGUGCUUAAAGUCUGCUUCACACCCGCGGCUGGUACGCCUGGUAUUGCACUAUCUUCGGCAUCGGCUCACCAUGA